rnacentral:rRNA from 1 species
UGGGGAAUUUUGGACAAUGGGCGAAAGCCUGAUCCAGCAAUGCCGCGUGUGUGAAGAAGGCCUUCGGGUUGUAAAGCACUUUUGUCCGGAAAGAAAUCCUUGGCUCUAAUACAGUCGGGGGAUGACGGUACCGGAAGAAUAAGCACCGGCUAACUACGUGCCAGCAGCCGCGGUAAUACGUAGGGUGCAAGCGUUAAUCGGAAUUACUGGGCGUAAAGCGUGCGCAGGCGGUUUGCUAAGACCGAUGUGAAAUCCCGGGCUCAACCUGGGAACUGCAUUGGUGACUGGCAGGCUAGAGUAUGGCAGAGGGGGGUAGAAUUCCACGUGUAGCAGUGAAAUGCGUAGAGAUGUGGAGGAAUACCGAUGGCGAAGGCAGCCCCCUGGGCCAAUACUGACGCUCAUGCACGAAAGCGUGGGGAGCAAACAGGAUUAGAUACCCUGGUAGUCCACGCCCUAAACGAUGUCAACUAGUUGUUGGGGAUUCAUUUCCUUAGUAACGUAGCUAACGCGUGAAGUUGACCGCCUGGGGAGUAC